UUAGGCAAUAAACUUUUCAUUUCCUGUAGCCAAGACAUCAUAACUGAUAUUACCUGCCAUUAUUUUAUUUUUAGGUACGACUUAUAUAAAGACAAAUGUUUAUGAUUUCUCAUAUGUCUUAUUCUCUUAGAUCAUUAAAAUUACAGACAAUGAACAAUAUUUUUCUUUUCUUCAGUUGGCUGGCUCUAUAUGGCAUGUGCUUCCACUCUUCCCUUCAGUGCACCGAUCGGAUGAGCUGAUUGAUUGAUUGUUCCAUUCAUCAGUCAUUUUUAGGUAUCUUUUUAAAUUCUUCAGCAUGGCACCUAUAACUUUAAGUAGAAAGAACUAUGUGGAUAGCUGAAUUCCCUAAAAUUGGAAGAAUGAAGAGGAGGUGUGAAAGGAGAGAAAGGCAAGACAAUGGCAUUAUUUAAGAAUCACCUGAAUUUAAAUUGGAAAAAGUACCAGCAUCUGAAAUGGACAUAGUAAACUGAGGACUGGAGUGACUGAGUUGCAACAGUACUGGGUGAGAAUGUGCAUGAGCUUUUGUUAUCUGUUUCUAUGGUAAUAUAGUUACAUGGAUAAAAGCUGAGAAAUCUGUAAAAUCUUGGGAGAGGAACUUGUAUGUACCAUUUUAACUUAUACAAAUACAAUUUUAAUAAAUUUAAGAAUUUGACAUCAUCUCGAGUCUUCUACAGAUUUAGUCAGAAAUUCUAGACCUCUU